rnacentral:rRNA from 1 species
UACGGGAGGCAGCAGUGGGGAAUAUUGGGCAAUGGGGGAAACCCUGACCCAGCAACGCCGCGUGAGGGAAGAAGGUUUUCGGAUCGUAAACCUCUGUCCUUGGUGAAGAGUAAGAGACGGUAGCCAAGGAGGAAGCCCCGGCUAACUACGUGCCAGCAGCCGCGGUAAU